rnacentral:rRNA from 1 species
GACGAACGCUGGCGGCGUGCUUAACACAUGCAAGUCGAACGGAAAGGCCCUGCUUGCAGGGUACUCGAGUGGCGAACGGGUGAGUAACACGUGGGUGAUCUGCCCUGCACUUCGGGAUAAGCCUGGGAAACUGGGUCUAAUACCGGAUAGGAGCCAUUUUUAGUGUGAUGGUUGGAAAGUUUUUUUCGGUGUAGGAUGAGCUCGCGGCCUAUCAGCUUGUUGGUGGGGUAAUGGCCUACCAAGGCGGCGACGGGUAGCCGGCCUGAGAGGGUGGACGGCCACAUUGGGACUGAGAUACGGCCCAGACUCCUACGGGAGGCAGCAGUGGGGAAUAUUGCACAAUGGGCGCAAGCCUGAUGCAGCGACGCCGCGGGGGGGAUGACGGCCCUCGGGUUGUAAACUCCUUUCGCUAGGGACGAAGCUUUUUGUGACGGUACCUAGAUAAGAAGCACCGGCUAACUACGUG